CCAGCUGGGAGAGUUCAAAUAUGAAAGCUGUACUAAUGUUUCUGUUCUUGUUAGUAUUCUUGCUAGGACUGGGAGAAGAGUCUGGAUUAUGAAGAGGAGUGGGGAGUAUUAAUUUUCAUUUACUGAACUGCCUAGAAAUAAUUUGAACCACCCACACAGCAGAACAAGCUGAUGUCAGAGCCAGUGAGGUUAUCAACACCAAUAAAAAAGCAGUUGUCACACAGAUUAGACAUUACAUGUUAGCAAAAAACUGCUGGUAUAUUAUUUUUAUGCAAAUUGAAAGUAUUUCUAUAACCUCUGACCCUGCCUGUAAACAUCAGAUUCCAGGAAUUCUGCUGGAAACCAUACAUUACUAAGGUAAAAUAAUACUUAGUAGUGAACAUGGUUUCCUCAGUAGAAGAAUCUGGAAGUGGAAGAAUGUAAGACCUUGAAAUGCACUGCUGAGUGCAAGGAAACUGCUGAGGCCACCUCCUGCCAAACAUCUGGGAAAACACACACCCCUUCAGAGCUGCCAGUGGAAAUAUGUAAACCACACACGGCUGUGAUGCAUGAGCACCUCGUUAACAUGCUAUCAGGCGUUCCCAGAUAGCAGCUGCGCAGGGCCAGGAGUAAGUGGACACGCAAUUUCAGCUUGCUCUGACAUGAAACGGGAAGUCAUCGGAGGUAUUCAAAGAACUAAGUGGAAGGACAGGGAGGUUAUUUUAAGGACAGCAGAAGAAAUGAGGAAAAAGUUGGUGAGAAUGGGAAAGAUAGAAAAUGCAGCAGCAGUCCAAAAGGAAAAAUCUCCUUGGAACUGGAGAGGAUUUCACUGAGUGGUGAGGAAAGAGCUGGAAGGUGGUCAGAGGAGGAAAUAUGGAUCUUGGAUAGAAGCUAUACAUAGAAGUGAACAAGAGGAAUGCAAAGUGGAUGUCUGUGCCUUGAAGGUUUGCUCGAAGGUGCAGUGCUGGAGUGUUGAGCCAGCAGAGCCAUCAUGAGCAGCAGCUGUGCCAAAUCCAUCACUAGCAGCUGGGGCUGCUGAGAGCUGCAGUGGCCAUUACAGGAUUUGAGCAGGUUUUGCUGCUAGGUUUGAAGCUGUACCUUCAUUCUUCUGAGGCUGAUCUGCAGGGCUGCUGCUGGAGAAAUACAGGUAUUGUAGCAAGUAGUUUUUUGUUUGUUUGCUUUUUUUAAUGUAGCAGUGGUGUAAGGGGUGAGUUUAAGAGGUGGGGAGUAGAGAGGUAAGGGCAUUUAGAUGUGUGAAGGGACAUGGUUUAGGGUGGAAAGAUUGGUGGUGGGUGAAUGGUUGGACUGCAUGAUGUUGGAGGUCUUUUCCAACCUUGGUGAUUCUGUGAUUUGCAUAUGUGUGUAUUAAGCAGAGAGGCUGGUCAAAUUGCUUCUUUGUUGUGAAAUAUAAUGCAGCAUUGGAAGGAGUCAGAAGAAUUCACUGUUCCCUUGUAAAACCUCUGAGAUGUGAAGUGUGUAUUUUCCCUGUGUUGGUUAUGCAGUCUGUGCAGGCACUUGGGAUUUCUAGCGGUUUUCUAAUAUGAGGGACGAAGAUGUUCAGGUUUAUUUGUGGCUGUACUAUUUCUUGUUGUAGUUGAUGGAAUUUUCCAUCAGGUUUCUGUUGUGCUAGAUUGCAUUUGAAUGCCUGAAUCUGAGUCUGCCCCACCAAAAAAAAAAAAAAAAAGACUUGUUAUCAUUGCAAAAUACAAGGUGUUUUAUAUUUUGUGAGUUCUUUGGUACGAUAGAAUGUGGAAAAAAUAAAGUAUGCUACCGUGUUGAUAUGUAAUGGAAGAAUCUUAUGCAAUACUGAAAAAUAUGAUGCGUGAAAUCUUUCCUACACUCAAGCAUAAAGAGUAUAUAUAUAUACUUUAGACUCUUAGUUUUAGCAGAAACUGCUGUUACACUUCACUGUAUGUUGAUGUAUAGGGUCACUUUUAUUAUUUUACUCAGAAAAAUAAAAUGAGAUGAUCUAGUAAAGACAAA
rnacentral:lncRNA from 1 species